UCCUCCUCAGGUUUGAUUAAUUUGCUAGACUGGCUCACAUAACUUAGAGAAACACUUCACCCACUUGAUCAUCAGUUUAUUAUCAAAGGAUAUAACACUCAGGAACAGUCACAUGGAAGAGAUACAGAGGCUGAAAAUCAAAAGCGAAUUUUGAUCCUGUGGAUUACCAAAGCAAUGCCUGUUGAAUUCAGUCCCACCAAGUGUCUUUUGUGUAAGAAACAAGAGAUUCAUUGUGGAGAGCAAGGAAAAUAAAGAGACGUUGGAAGGAAAAAUGCAAAUAAUCUCUCCACUUAGAG